rnacentral:rRNA from 1 species
UAGCGAAGGGGGCUAGCGUUGCUCGGAAUGACUGGGCGUAAAGGGCGCGUAGGCGGUUUGUACAGUCAGAUGUGAAAUUCCCCGGGCGUCAACCUGGGGGCUGGCAUUUAUACGUGCGGACUUUGAGUGGGGGAAGAGGGUCGUGGAAUUCCCCAGUGUAGAGGUGAAAUUCGUAGAUAUUGGGAAGAACACCGGUGGCGAAGGCGGCGACCUGGUCCUUGACUGACGCUGAGGCGACGAAGCGUGGGGGAGCAAACAGG